AUAAGAUGAGAGUUUGAUCCUGGCUCAGGACGAACGCUGGCGGCAUGCCUAAUACAUGCAAGUCGAACGAGCUUCCGUUGAUUGAGGUGCUUGCACUGAUUUCAACACUGAAGCGAGUGGCGAACUGGUGAGUAACACGUGGGAAAUCUGCCCAGAAGCAGGGGAUAACACUUGGAAACAGGUGCUAAUACCGCAUAACAACAAGAACCGCAUGGUUCUUGUUUGAAAGGUGGCUUCGGCUAUCACUUCUGGAUGAUCCCGCGGCGUAUUAGUUAGUUGGUGAGGUAAAGGCCCACCAAGACAAUGAUACGUAGCCGACCUGAGAGGGUAAUCGGCCACAUUGGGACUGAGACACGGCCCAAACUCCUACGGGAGGCAGCAGUAGGGAAUCUUCCACAAUGGACGAAAGUCUGAUGGAGCAAUGCCGCGUGAGUGAAGAAGGGUUUCGGCUCGUAAAACUCUGUUGUUAAAGAAGAACACUUCUGAGAGUAACUGUUCAGAAGUUGACGGUAUUUAACCAGAAAGCCACGGCUAACUACGUGCCAGCAGCCGCGGUAAUACGUAGGUGGCAAGCGUUGUCCGGAUUUAUUGGGCGUAAAGCGAGCGCAGGCGGUUUUUUAAGUCUGAUGUGAAAGCCUUCGGCUUAACCGGAGAAGUGCAUCGGAAACUGGGAAACUUGAGUGCAGAAGAGGACAGUGGAACUCCAUGUGUAGCGGUGGAAUGCGUAGAUAUAUGGAAGAACACCAGUGGCGAAGGCGGCUGUCUAGUCUGUAACUGACGCUGAGGCUCGAAAGCAUGGGUAGCGAACAGGAUUAGAUACCCUGGUAGUCCAUGCCGUAAACGAUGAGUGCUAGGUGUUGGAGGGUUUCCGCCCUUCAGUGCCGCAGCUAACGCAUUAAGCACUCCGCCUGGGGAGUACGACCGCAAGGUUGAAACUCAAAGGAAUUGACGGGGGCCCGCACAAGCGGUGGAGCAUGUGGUUUAAUUCGAAGCUACGCGAAGAACCUUACCAGGUCUUGACAUACUAUGCAAAUCCUAGAGAUAGGACGUUCCCUUCGGGGACAUGGAUACAGGUGGUGCAUGGUUGUCGUCAGCUCGUGUCGUGAGAUGUUGGGUUAAGUCCCGCAACGAGCGCAACCCUUAUUAUCAGUUGCCAGCAUUAAGUUGGGCACUCUGGUGAGACUGCCGGUGACAAACCGGAGGAAGGUGGGGAUGACGUCAAAUCAUCAUGCCCCUUAUGACCUGGGCUACACACGUGCUACAAUGGACGGUACAACGAGUCGCGAAGUCGUGAGGCUAAGCUAAUCUCUUAAAGCCGUUCUCAGUUCGGAUUGUAGGCUGCAACUCGCCUACAUGAAGUUGGAAUCGCUAGUAAUCGCGGAUCAGCAUGCCGCGGUGAAUACGUUCCCGGGCCUUGUACACACCGCCCGUCACACCAUGAGAGUUUGUAACACCCAAAGCCGGUGAGAUAACCUUCGGGAGUCAGCCGUCUAAGGUGGGACAGAUGAUUAGGGUGAAGUCGUAACAAGGUAGCCGUAGGAGAACCUGCGGCUGGAUCACCUCCUUUCUAAGGAA
rnacentral:rRNA from 2 species